UGCUCUACUAUAGCUCAGUGGGUAGAGCAUCAGACUCUUAAUCUCAGGGUCCUGGGUUUGGGCCCCAUGUUGGGUAA